GUACUUGUGGAGUAAGAGCGAUGUCCUAUGUGCUAUUGAUUAAAUGGUUGAAGGGAACAGAACACGGAGCUUGGCUCCCUUUACGUCUCAUAUUUGUGCUCAUAUUCAUGUAAAGGAAGAGAGAAGCCAGGUGUGGUGAUGGCGGCUCUUCUCUUUAGUCUCAGUGUGCUUGGGAGGCGGAGGCAGGAUGAUCACAACUUCAAGACCAGUCUCAGCUGGAUAGCUGGGCCACGAGAGAGACUUCAUCUCAAAACAAGCAAACAAAUACAUGCACAAAGAGCUAUCUGGAGCAGGGCGCCUUGCCUCAUUAUCUCCCCCCCACCCCCCCUUUGAGUCACAGGAAGAAGAUGUGACUUUGAGAAACUGGUCUUCAAACUGGAGAGAGAGAGAGAGGGGCAUCUAGU
rnacentral:lncRNA from 1 species